UGUGGCUCAGUGGUAGAGCACUUGCCUAGCAUGUAUGAGGCUCUGGGUUUGAUUCUCAGCA
rnacentral:tRNA from 1 species